AACUUUUGGCAAUUGAUCUCUUGGCUCUCGCAUCGAUGAAGAACGCAGCGAAAUGCGAUAAGUAAUGCGAAUUGCAGAUUUUCAGUGAAUCAUCGAAUCUUUGAACGCCACUUGCGCCCCUUGGUAUUCCGAGGGGCAUGCCUGUUUGAGUGUCAUUAAACUCUCAACUCCGAUUUGAUUUGGUUCUAAUCGGAGCUUGGACUUGGCGCGUGCUGGCGUCUAGUCGGCUCCUCUCAAAUGCAUCAGCGGAAUAUAACCUUUGGUUUCCGGACGUCGGUGUGAUAAUAAAGUUGCGCCGUCGUUCGACUUCAAAGUCCGCUUAUAAUGGUCUUCGGACGAACUCUUAUAUCAAAUUUGACCUCAAAUCAGGUAGGACUACCCGCUGAACUUAAGCAUAUCAAUAAGCGGAGGCU
rnacentral:misc_RNA from 1 species